rnacentral:misc_RNA from 1 species
GGUUAGGGUUUGUAUAAAUCUGUUAUUCUUUUACUUCUUCCACAAUUUGUUUGUUGAAUUCAUAAUCCAGAAUAAAUCAGACUUUUUUUGAUUGAGUUUUAACGGAAAAUUUAAUAGAUUGAACGAAGGGGGGAAAACGACGAAUUGAUUGAACUCUGCAUUGAGAGGAAUGGUGGAAGUUGUCAUAUACCGGUGCUAUUGAUAUCUUUGAUAAUUGUUGACCUGGCGAGGUCUAUUUGAUAUAUAGUUCUUGUUGGCCUAGCAAGGUAUAGUGUAAUUUGAGCGGAUUAAAUGUUGAAAAGAAAUAUCUGAUAUGUACAGAAUUGGGGAGGUAUUCUCAUGGCACCUACUGUUCCAAUAGAUUACGUUGGACAGAGAGAAUCAAGGAAGUUCUUUAAAAAGGAUUCAGUUGAUAUUAUGGGAAAGUCACGCAAGGGUUUUAAAGGUUACUUGCCUGGAAUUGUGCCCGAUUAUCGUAAUGCUGUUGAGACAAUGGCAGAAUCCGAAGGUUUUGGGAGCUCCGGACGCAUUGAUACUGAAAGGACUGCAUCGGAGGACUCUUGCGCACCUAAAAGAAAAUCCAUUUGUUUGAAUGCUGAUGGUCAUGACCAAUUUGGUGCACCUAUUCAAUCAAUGUCGUUGUCCAGUAUGUCAUCCUCUGAAAAAAAAGUGUUGGGAAUUAGGUUGAAGAAUGAACUUGAACUAGUCAGGGGACUGCAGAAGAAAAUUGCUUCUGUCGGCUCAAAUAUUGGGGUUCUUUCACCUGCUAGCGAUCUUCAAAAUUGCACCAAUGGGCAGAGGAGAUCAGGAUCAGAGAUAUCUCAGCGAUAUAUGGCUGAAGCAGUGAUUCCUCCUGGGAAGAAAAAGCCUGCCCCAGUGAGAAAUGGGCCUCUUACUAAGGGUCCCGGAGCUAAGCGGCCUAAGACGAUGCAACAGGCCAUACCUUCAGAUACAAGCAUGGUCAUGAUUAUGAAACAGUGUGAGACAGUGCUAAGCAGACUGAUGUCACAUCAGCAUGGGUGGGUCUUCAAUCAUCCAGUUGAUGUCGUAAAGUUAAAAAUCCCCGACUACUUCACUGUUAUUAAGCAACCAAUGGAUCUAGGGACCAUCAGGUCAAAGUUGCAUUCGGGAGAAUAUUCG